ACAAUGUUGCAAUGUGGCAGAUAGUUCAUUCAAAAAAGACUAAUCCCCUUAUCCGCAAAACCACAUCAACCAUACCAACUAUCUUAUUUUUACUACUGCAAAGAAUCAUUAUACAACACCGGAACAAGACAAAAAGAAAAUCAGUCCAAAACAGAUAAAACAGGAACAACAAAUACUAGCUUAAGGGGCAAAACAGAAACAUCACACAACCGAGGACAAAUCAGGACUAGAGCUAGAUAAUUGACAGCAUACCAAAAAAAAGGCCUCAUAUUAUAUUAAUUUAAAUGCUUAUGUUUCAUAUUCAGAUUUGUCUCUGUUUGUUCGUCCUCCUACUAUUAUGAUAGUUUUUACCCAUGAAGGUUUUAUCAUCCAUGACAUAUUAUAUUCUAACUUGAAACAUGUUUGUUCGUCCUCCUACUAUUAUGAUAGUUUUUACCCAUGAAGGUUUCAUCAUCCCUGACAUAUUAUAUUCUAACUUGAAACAUUUGAGAUCCAUAUCUUACUGAGCAUGACAACAAGAAAGCCAUCUUCAGAGACUUCAUU
rnacentral:lncRNA from 1 species